rnacentral:misc_RNA from 1 species
AACUCUCACCUCCAAUCUUUUUUAACUAGAAGGUUGGGGCGUGGACGUGAGUGCUGCUGGUGCCCUGGUUGCAUCGGCUCACUUGAAAUUCAUUAGCUGAAUCCUUUAAAGUAGGUUCUACUCGACGUGAUAAGAUCUCCGUCGAGGACAGUGCUUCGGCAUUGGCCAACGAUAAAGUUGAUACGCUUCUAAUUAGCGCAGACUUCGAGUGCUGGCAAUUUUGACAAC